GGUGGCGUGUCCGAGUGGCCGAAGGAGCGCGCCUCGAAAGCGCGUGAGGGUUUACGCCCUCCGUGGGUUCAAAUCCCACCGCCACCGCCA
rnacentral:tRNA from 1 species